GCAAGACCGUGAGGUGGAGCAAAACUUAUAAAACCUAUCUCAGUUCGGAUUGUAGGCUGCAACUCGCCUACAUGAAGCUGGAGUUGCUAGUAAUCGCGAAUCAGAAUGUCGCGGUGAAUACGUUCCCGGGCCUUGUACACACCGCCCGUCACACCAUGAGAGCUGGUAACACCCGAAGUCCGUGAGGUAACCGUAAGGAGCCAGCGGCCGAAGGUGGGAUUAGUGAUUGGGGUGAAGUCGUAACAAGGUAGCCGUAGGAGAACCUGCGGCUGGAUCACCUCCUUUCUAAGGAGA
rnacentral:rRNA from 1 species